rnacentral:rRNA from 1 species
AGAGUUUGAUCCUGGCUCAGGAUGAACGCUAGCGGCAGGCCUAACACAUGCAAGUCGAACGGUAACAGGGAUUAGCUUGCUAAUCCGCUGACGAGUGGCGCACGGGUGCGUAACGCGUAUACAAUCUGCCUUUAAGCGGGGAAUAGCCCAUGGAAACGUGGAUUAAUACCCCAUAGUAUGUAGACUUCACCUGGAGACUACAUUAAACAUUUAUGGCUUAAAGAUGAGUAUGCGUCCUAUUAGUUAGUUGGUAAGGUAACGGCUUACCAAGACGGCGAUAGGUAGGGGUCCUGAGAGGGAGAUCCCCCACACUGGUACUGAGACACGGACCAGACUCCUACGGGAGGCAGCAGUGAGGAAUAUUGGACAAUGGAGGCAACUCUGAUCCAGCCAUGCCGCGUGCAGGAAGACGGCCCUAUGGGUUGUAAACUGCUUUUAUACGGGAAGAACCACAUCUACGUGUAGAUGCUUGACGGUACCGUAUGAAUAAGGACCGGCUAACUCCGUGCCAGCAGCCGCGGUAAUACGGAGGGUCCAAGCGUUAUCCGGAAUCAUUGGGUUUAAAGGGUCCGUAGGCGGGAUAAUAAGUCAGUGGUGAAAGUCUGCAGCUCAACUGUAGAAUUGCCAUUGAUACUGUUGUUCUUGAAUUAUUAUGAAGUGGUUGGAAUGAGUAGUGUAGCGGUGAAAUGCAUAGAUAUUACUCAGAACACCUAUUGCGAAGGCAGAUCACUAAUAAUAUAUUGACGCUGAGGGACGAAAGCGUAGGUAGCGAACAGGAUUAGAUACCC